CCCGCAUCCGCCUGCCUUUGCACUUGGGGGUGGGAGAGCCACCUUGUGACGCCCCUUCUGCCUCUCACCAGCUUCCCCCUUUCUCCCCGUCCUGUACGGUUCCCCCUGGAGCCAGAAGGAAGCCCGGUGCCAGCCAGCCUUCCUGAAAGACCAAGCCCGCGCCAUCCGGCUUCCUCCAGUGGACGCCUGCAGGACCCAGGAACACUACAUCAACACUGUUGGCGGGGACCUGGACACAGAAGACUCCUGUUUCAAGAAAAUACAAUCAUCUCUCAAAGGCUGUAAUUUAUAUGCAUUUUAAAACUCUAGGCAUUGAAAACCACCCAAGUGUCCCAAAUAGAAGGGUAAUAUAUAAUCAAUCACUCAGUGUAAUAUUAUACAUCCUUUAAAAAUGUUAUUGGGAAAUGUUUUAUGAUCUGUAAGUCCAAGGAAUCCUCUCCCACCAUUUCUUUCCCCCCGCUGUUCCCCCAUACCCACACUUCUUUGUUCCAAUUGGCAUGUAAAUUUGGUUUUCCCGCCAAAUGAGUCAGUCAUGAUGGGAACCUCAACUGAUUUGAACAGAUGUGUGUCAAUGUUACUUGGAAAACUAGAUGUCAAUAACCAGGGUCACAGAAAAAGGCAGUGGUCACAACUCUGUAAAAAUGUAUGCAUGCACACAGACAAGAACUAAAGUGGAACCCCACACAGGAAAACAGUGGGCUGUACUCCAGUGCUGGGACAUUGAAUGACUGUAUGCUGCUUUUGAUUUCCGUUAAUAUGGGCAACUGUCCAAUUAAAAAAAAAACUCCUAAG
rnacentral:lncRNA from 1 species